rnacentral:rRNA from 1 species
AACGUAGGUGGCAAGCGUUAUCCGGAAUUACUGGGCGUAAAGGGUGUGCAGGCGGGGUUGCAAGUGGUGUAUGAAAUAUCCCAGCUUAACUGGGAGGGUUAUGCCAGACUGCAAGCUCUAGAGGACGAGAGAGGGGGGUGGAAUUCCGGGUGUAGUGGUGGAAAUGCGUAGAGAUCCGGAGGAACCCCAGAGGCGAAGGCGGCCCCCUGGCUCGUACCUGACGCCUCAGCCACGAAAGCAUGGGGAGCGAACGGG